rnacentral:rRNA from 1 species
UACAGAGGGUGCGAGCGUUGUCCGGAAUCACUGGGCGUAAAGGGCGCGUAGGUGGCGGCCCAAGUCCAUGGUGAAAGCUCGAUGCUCAACAUCGAGUCGGCCACGGAUACUGGGUUGCUCGAGCACUGUAGGGGCAGAUGGAAUUCCGGGUGUAGCGGUGGAAUGCGUAGAGAUCCGGAAGAACACCGGUGGCGAAGGCGGUCUGCUGGGCAGUUGCUGACACUGAGGCGCGACAGCGUGGGGAGCAAACAGGGAUUAAGAAACCCUGAG